rnacentral:rRNA from 1 species
UGGGGAAUAUUGGGCAAUGGGCGAAAGCCUGACCCAGCGACGCCGCGUGAGGGAAGAAGGUCUUCGGAUUGUAACCUCUUUCAGCAGGGAAGAAGAAAGUGACGGUACCUGCAGAAGAAGUCACGGCUAACUACGUGCCAGCAGCCGCGGUAAUACGUAGGUGGCAAACGUUAUCCGGAAUUACUGGGUGUAAAGGGUGUGUAGGCGGGAAUGCAAGUCAGACGUGAAAACUUAAGGCUCAACCUUAAGCCUGCGUUUGAAACUGUGUUUCUUGAGAGUGGGAGAGGUAAACGGAAUUCCUGGUGUAGUAGUGAAAUGCGUAGAUAUCAGGAGGAACACCGGUGGCGAAGGCGGUUUACUGGACCACAACUGACGCUGAGACACGAAAGCGUGGGGAGCAAACAGGAUUAGAUACCCUGGUAGU